GAGAGAGAGGUGGGAAUCCUCUCGGCCGAAUAUCUAAGGUUUCCAGGGUAAAGCUGAUCUGCCCUGGGUAAGUCGGGGCCUAAGGCGAGGACGAGAGUCGUAGCCGAUGGACAACAGGUUGAGAUUCCUGUACUGCAGUAAGACAGAACUGUGGGGACACGUGUGGAGAGCAUAGGCGCGGAAUGGAAAGCCGCGUGCAAGCGAGGUAGGGGUCCUGUAGGAAAAACCGCAGGGCAAUCCGAAGGCGUGAUGCGGACCGAAAUCUAGUAGGGAAGUAUGUGAGCCAUGCGUCAAGAAAAGCCGCUAUUGUUCUUAUUGUACCUGUACCGUAAACCGACACAGGUGGAUGAGGAGAGAAUCCUAAGGCCGACGGAAGAAGCAUUGUUAAGGAACUCGGCAAAAUGACCCCGUAACUUCGGGAGAAGGGGUGCCACAGAAAUGUGGCCGCAGAGAAUAGGCUCUAGCAACUGUUUAGCAAAAACACAGGUCUAUGCAAAACCGAAAGGUGAGGUAUAUGGGCUGACGCCUGCCCGGUGCUGGAAGGUUAAGAGGAGAGGUUAGCGCAAGCGAAGCUUUGAAUUGAAGCCCCAGUAAACGGCGGCCGUAACGAUAACGGUCCUAAGGUAGCGAAAUUCCUUGUCGGGUAAGUUCCGACCCGCACGAAAGGCGUAAUGAUUUGAGCGCUGUCUCGACAAUGCAUCCGGUGAAAUUGAAGUACCAGUGAAGAUGCUGGUUACCUGCGCCAGGACGGAAAGACCCCAUGGAGCUUUACUCCAGCCUGAUACUGGGAUUCGGUAUUGCAUGUACAGGAUAGGUGGGAGACUGAGAAUCGGUAACGCCAGUUGCCGAGGAGCCAUUGUUGGGAUACCACCCUUGCAGUACUGGGUUUCUAACCAGCAGCCGUGACCCGGCUGGGGGACAAUGUCAGGUGGGGAGUUUGACUGGGGCGGUCGCCUCCGAAAGGGUAUCGGAGGCGCUCAAAGGUUCCCUCAGAAUGGUUGGAAACCAUUCGAAGAGUGCAAAGGCAGAAGGGAGCUUGACUGCGACACCGACGGGUGGAGCAGGUACGAAAGUAGGACUUAGUGAUCCGGUGGUAUUAAGUGGGAAUGCCAUCGCUCAACGGAUAAAAGCUACCCUGGGAUAACAGGCUUAUCACUCCCAAGAGUUCACAUCGACGGAGUGGUUUGGCACCUCGAUGUCGGCUCAUCGCAUCCUGGGGCUGUAGUAGGUCCCAAGGGUUGGGCUGUUCGCCCAUUAAAGCGGUACGCGAGCUGGGUUCAGAACGUCGUGAGACAGUUCGGUCCCUAUCCGGCGUGGGCGUAGGAUAUCUGAGAGGAGCUGUCCUUAGUACGAGAGGACCGGGAUGGACGGACCGCUGGUGUACCUGUUGCAGUGCCAGCUGCAUGGCAGGGUAGCCAAGUCCGGAAGGGAUAAACGCUGAAGGCAUCUAAGCGUGAAGCCCCCCUCAAGAUGAGAUAUCCCAUUCGAAAGAAGUAAGACCCCUUGAAGACGACGAGGUAGAUAGGGCAGAGGUGGAAGUGCAGUAAUGUAUGGAGCUGACUGUUACUAAUCGGUCGAGGGUUUGACC
rnacentral:rRNA from 1 species